rnacentral:rRNA from 1 species
UACGGAGGGGGCUAGCGUUGUUCGGAAUUACUGGGCGUAAAGCGCGCGUAGGCGGACCUGCAAGUCGGGGGUGAAAGCCCGAGGCUCAACCUCGGAACUGCCUUCGAUACUGCGGGUCUCGAGUCCGGGAGAGGUGAGUGGAAUUCCUAGUGUAGAGGUGAAAUUCGUAGAUAUUAGGAAGAACACCAGUGGCGAAGGCGGCUCACUGGCCCGGUACUGACGCUGAGGCGCGAAAGCUAGGGGAGCAAACGGGG